GUGUCAGCCGCCGCGGUAAUACGGGGGGAGCAAGCGUUGUUCGGAAUCACUGGGCGUAAAGGGCGUCUAGGCGGUUCGGUAAGUGGGAUGUGAAAUGCCCGGGCUCACCCCGGGACCUGCAUCCCAAACUGCUGAGCUUGAGUACAGGAGAGGGUAGGGGAAUUCCAGGUGUAGCGGUGAAAUGCGUAGAUAUCUGGAGGAACACCGGUGGCGAAGGCGCCUACCUGGCCUGUUACUGACGCUGAAGCGCGAAAGCUAGGGGAGCAAACGGGAUUAGAAACCCCCGUAGUCC
rnacentral:rRNA from 1 species